GAUAAUACCGCAACGAUAGUAGCCUGCCCACGACCCAAGACCAAAAAGGAGGUGAGUUUAUGGGGCUGGCUGGCUACUACCAAAGGUUUGUUCCUAGUUUAUCUGAUAUCACCAGCCCCUUGACGAAUCUCACUAAAAAGGGGCAGAUCCAGUCCAGUGGACGGAGGCGUGCCAACAGGCUUUCACAAGAGUGAAAUCUGCACUCUGUGGCCGGCCGCUUUUACAUACUCCAAACUUCUCUUUCUUCUUCAUUUUGCAGAUGAUGCAUCAGAGAGGGGGUUGGGGGCCGUGCUUUUGCAGGAGGUGGAGCACCCCGUGCUGUACAUUAGUUGUAAGCUCUCUUUGAGGGAGACUUAGUACAGCACAAUCGAGAAAGAGUGCCUAGCCACCAAAUGGGCUGUCCUAACCCUCCACUAUUACCUGCUGGGGCGGGCCUUCAUCCUCUGCUCGGAUCACGUCCCGUUUCAGUGGCUCCACCGCAUGAAGGAUACCAACACGCAGAUCACUCGUUGGUACCUGGCACUUCAGUCGUUCAAGUUUAAGGUGGUCCACAGGCCGGGGCCGCAGAUGGUUGUUGUUGAUUUCCUCUCCAGGAAUGGGGGGGGAGGGGGUAUGUGGAGCGGGACAUGGUCGUGUGUCUGUCAGUGGGAAGAGAAAAAGCGGUAAGAGCCAUCACCUGGUGAUUAUUGAUGCUAAACACCUAUGUCUCAUUUCAGUGACAGUGGAGAGGGGCUUUAAAAAGGCCAGCGGAACACCAGAGUGACAGAGAGAGUCCGAGCCACACACACACCCUGAAGCCCUAUGCUGAAAAAGACAUUCUGUACUAGAUCAAAUAAUGCACAAAAGGACACGGUAGCUGAAGUUGGCUGGAAACUUUACAAUGAAUAUUAAUGAGAGACCUCAUUCCUGUGAGAUCUUGUUAAAGAACAUCUGUUAUUGUGUAGCAAACUUGAAUCAAUAUGUUUAAAAGUAAAUUAUUUUCCAAAAAACAUAAAUCUAAGCUCAUCAUUAGUCAAGAAGAGAUCAAAAGUGUAUUGUUUAUAUCAUAUUGGCCCAAUCGCAUAUUGUUUUGCCUCAAACCAAUAGAUAAACAUACAGAAUAGACCUUUAAUAUAGUUUAUUCAGAAGUCAAAGGUUCUGCGAAAGACCUUAAAGAAUGCUUGGCUAUCUAGUUUUAGUUAUCAUUUCCCCUUUCUGUGAUUUUUCAUUACACCAAAAUUUUGUACAACACUAAUAAUAAAAAAUUAUUUUGUAAUAUGUUUACAUUUGUUUGCAUAAUCUCAAACAGCCACGAAACUAUUGAAAGCCACAGUCUUAUUAUUGUCUGGUUUGUUCCUGUUCUCAUAUUCUUUCUGUUCUCCUCCUCAACGUAAUUGUGAGUGAUCCUUUAAUACAACAGUCAAACUCAAAGAGGACACAUUUAUCAUUGUGCUGUCAAAGAAGAAACCUGCUCACCACUGGCCAUUAAAGGUUUGUGGUCCAAGUAACCACUUACAGUGGCAUGUGCUUUAAACUCAUUACAAAUAAUGUUGUGAGCAGAUCUGUGCCAAAACCUGUGAGAGUGUGAGCCAUGAGGAUUUUAUGAAAAUGAAAGAUUUUUUUAUAGCAAUGAUCCAAAUGGACCAGGAUGUACAGUUUUCUACAAACUGUGUCAUUCAUUCCUUUCUCCAAAAAUACGCAAGAAACAACUGAUGCUGGCAAAAUCAGCUGAAUAACACAAAUCAACAGUGAGGAUGGACAAACACAGCAAAAGCUAUAAAAGAGCUUGUACACAGGACAGAAGAAUUUGUAAGCAAGAGAGGUGCAAGACCAUUUGCCAGUAAAGUUUUACUAGUUAUCACUGAUGGUAAAUCAACUGAUAAAACCCCCUUGACUGAUGCUGUUCAAGAAGCACAAGCAAAUCAGAUAAUUCGAUAUGCAAUUGGGCAUCAGAUUGGGUGUGGUGGAUUUGAACUCUGACUCCAACACAGACCUCCUGUUGGUUUCAGCACCAACAUAUACAGAGACUGAUCGAGAGGGCAAAGUGUUUAUUUACUUCUAUUCACAAUGGCCAUACUUUACUUUUUUGGAUAUGGGUCUGGUGGGCAUGGCAAGACAGAGAGGAGUUGGCUCUUCUCUGGCCAGUCCAGCAGAUCUGAAUGGAGAUGGUUUCAGGGAUGUGCUGAUUGGAGCUCCCUUAGAGGAAGAUGGACAGGGCAGCAUCUACAUUUUUAAUGGAGGAGUAGAUAAAAUAAUUCAAAACUAUUCACAGGUGGAAAAAGGGCAGGAAGAGAGAGAGAUUUAACAAAACAUGAACUUUACUGUAGAACCUGUUGUAAUUUGGACCCAAGCUCCGAAUGUCACAUAUAGGCACCUAUUGUUUCUGUUAAUUUUCUUAUUAUUCAAAAUUUUCUGCAUUAGGGUCUAUAGUUUUAGUUAAUAACUUUUGAACUGGAUGAUCUAGAAAUGUAAUCCCUUUUCAUUCAAUGCACCAAGAGGGUUGCAAUUUCCACCGGUCUAUAUUUUCCUGUGUCUUGAAUUGUAUUGAAAAACAUCGUCCUACACUUUUCAUUGGAUGUCCCCAAAUUUGGGCCAGCUACUCCUCUGCCCAUGCUGGUUAAAAGUUAUUAAAAGCUGACACGUGUAGAAUCAACAGACAAAAAAUGAUAACACUUUACAAUAAAGUUGUAUUUGUUAACAUUAGCUUGCUAUAUUAAUUUGAACUAGCAAAGAACAAUAUUUUUACAACACUUAAUAUCAACAUAUACCAUUUAUUUUAUUUAUUUAUUUACAUAAAAGGUUGUAUGCUUUAACAUUUGUUUUACAACAAACUUUGAGACUGUAUAUUAUAUUUGACUCUCCAGUGCUGGAACAAGGCUAAAACAAAGUGUGGAUAGGUCUGACUAUGCGAGACUGUAGUUUGAAGUAAUCACUUUUCUUUGCAUGAUACAUUGACUGCAUUUAUACGAUAGCCUAUGUCGGCGUUAGCUAGCUAGCCAGCUUUAUCAAUAGCUGUUAGCUAAAUUUGGUGGAUGAUGACAGUAGCUGUUUAUAAAAUAGAUUGUACAUUAUAAAUAUGUUGACACAAUUCAGUAUUGAUGUGAUUCCAUCACAACUGUCAUUUUGAUAUAUC